rnacentral:rRNA from 1 species
ACACGUGGCUAACCUGCCCUUGGGACAAGGACAACUCCGGGAAACUGGGGCUAAUCCCUGAUAGGUGAGAACUCCUGGAAUGGAUUCUCGCUCAAAGGACGUUUAGACCAUGCUUCUAAGCGUCGCCCAAGGAGGGGGCCGCGACCGAUCAGGUUGUUGGUGAGGUAACGGCUCACCAAGCCUUUAACCGGUACGGGCCGUGAGAGCGGAAGCCCGGAGAUGGGCACUGAGACAAGGGCCCAGGCCCUACGGGGCGCAGCAGUCGCGAAAACUCCGCAAUACACGAAAGUGUGACGGGGCCAUCCCUAGUGCCAUCCGCUGAGGAUGGCUUUUCCCCAGUGUAUAAAGCUGGGGGAAUAAGGAGAGGGCAAGCCUGGUGUCAGCCGCCGCGGUAAUACCAGCUCUCCGAGUGGUGGGGAUGAUUAUUGGGCCU